UUCGUAUCGCGUUGGUCGGAAACUACAGUUUGUCCAAGAGGUGUUUCCGUAGCUAGCUGUCAAAGGUGGCGACCGUUCUGCAUAUGCGCGACUCACACGGAGUCACAUCCUGUAAGCAUGUUGUGAUCAAAUGGCUAUGUCAAAAAUACAUCCGUGAUAUAGCGAGCCUAGAACGAGCCUAACGUGACUGUUAACGGGUAACGUUACGACUAGUAUGGACUCCUGUUCCGGUAAUGUGUCAAAUAUGGUUUUAGGGUCUUUGUACGCGUUAUUAGCGGGCUUUUUGGGUGCUGUUGCUUCACUGUCUGCCAAACUAUCACUCGGUGCAGACUACCUCAGAGAGAAGUGUGAUUCAGGGCUCGGCAGCUGGACUGAUCCUGGAACAGUCUGUGACUGGCUCCACAUCCCCCUGCGGCUUCUGUGUGGAAGCCUACUGUUCAUCUGUAAUGCUGUCAUGUGACCUUUUUUCCAAGGCCCUCCGACACUGCCCCUUUCAGCCAGGGCUACAGUCACUACCACAGCAUCCAACUUCAUCUCCUCAGCUGUCCUGGGGACGGUGAUGUUUGGAGAGAGUCAUGCAGUUCUAUGGUGGGUGGGAAUGUCUCUCACUCUGUCUGGACUGCUGGUGCUUCAUGGAUCCACACCUCAGACGCUCCAACAGGAGGACGGUAAAAAGGACAAGUGAUGUAGAUUUGACUCAUCACAAGCAUGCAGCCACUGGCUUCAGUCACGAUAACCUGUGGCCAGACUCUCUCAGAGACAAUUUCUCAGGCACUUAAAAGUGUCUUAAUGUUGAGUCUAGUCAAAAUGUGCGUUUAUUAUUUUUUGGUAGUUAUUUUUAGGGCCCGAGCACCAUCAGUGCGGGAGGAAAUUAAAUUUACAUGGUGUGAUGUACACAUGAUAUUAAGCAACACAAUGCUUGUCUUAUGCCACUCCCCCUUUCAUAACCAAUAAACUGUUUGACAUGGACUCUUACACAAGACAUCAUUGCACUCCUAAAGAGUUCCUUUCAUCAGUGGUUUGCUGUGGUUCGCACGGUAUAAUAUGGCCACGCCCCCUUUCUUAACUUAUGAACCAUUUAUCAUAGAAGCUUAAGGACACAGGAUUUGCAAUGCAUAAUUUCCAAUGCCAUACAUUCCCUGCAGAUAAUAGUAAAGAUUAAUAUAAUGGGGUCGGCUUACGGCAAUUCAUUUAAAAGGAAUGUCACAUUAUUAACAUGUCCUCAACAAAAUUUUGAUACUAAAAGUACAGCAAGUUGUGACUGUGUCAAAAAGCAGUGACAUAGAAACUUAUGUGGUUGUGAUAAUACAAAAUCAGGAAAUUGCUGCAAUUAAAAAUGUCUUAGUACAUUGUACCUGUGGGAAAUUACCAGCAGUUUGUCUGAUACACUUGGAGUUUUGUACUUCACUAGACCCAUUUUCAGGAAACCUGUCUGGGAGAUGGACAUUAGCUAUGUUUAUAUAGGGUUUGGUCCAUUGGUUUGAAGAUGCUAAGAAAUAUUCCAUCUCCAUAGUGCAAAUUUUCAGUAGGCUACAACUGGUUUUUAACUAGAAUUACCUCCUCUGAGUUGUAUGUCUUCACCAAUCUGUCAAGUGGAAGAUUACAGUGCAUCCAUGUCUGUCCAGACUUAUAUAAUAUAUGUGGUGGCAAGAAGGACAAGAGACCAAAUUAAAGCCAUCUUGAAUUAACCUUCUCCCUCUCUCUACAACGAGCUGUGGUAGAUGGGCAGCUCAUCGGAGCCAGGGUGAAGAACAAGAUCAAAGCCUGUGAGUUGGUCCUCAUCUAAGUCGAGGGUCUUGGGACAGAGGAUGUUGUUUGCUGUACAGUGUGAAGAUUGUGUUUUUUGAUUUGGAAUAUAGAGAUAUAUUAAUAAAAUUUAUUUUACAUUA